AGAUUAAAAUGAAAAUUAUUUGUUUCUUUCGAUUUAACAAAUAAAAAUUGUUUCUUAUUUUUUCAGAUUUUUUCUGGUUUCUCUUUAUUUCUUUCUUUUUUUUUUUUUCAUUUACAUUUUCAACAUUUGCUACAAGUUCCUGUCCUGGUUCUUCCUAUUGUAACAAUGAAGUGGAUUGCAUGUUCCAUAGUAAUAUUGUUGAAUCAUAGAGAACGAACAUGCAAUCGCUAGAUCAUAGUUUCCUAUCUUUGUCAUACUCGUCUUACAUACAUUCAUUACAUAGUAUACGAUCUCAAAUACUUUGAAUAAAUAAUUUUCGAUCGUUUUUUUUAAAUUAAUUUCAAAUUAGAAGUCUUGAUUGUUUUCUUUUCUGUUUUCCGGAGUUUAACACACUUAUCAUAAUUAAUGUAAUUCGUUCUGCAUACGUAUUUUUUCGUAGAUGUAUUUUCUCUUUAUUUACAUUUCCAAUAUUUACUGCAAGUUGUACUGUCUUAUUUAUUUUGAUUUUAACAACUAUAGAAGUAGUUUGUACAAUGAAUUGCAUUUGUUUGUAAUAACAUCAUUGAAUCGUAAAGAACAAAGCAAACGAUAGAUUCACUGUACUUGUCUUACUUAAAACUCGUAUAUGUAAAUAUUCUGGAUAUAUCAAUAAUAUUGAAUGAUAUAAAUAUUCUUUAUGUUUGUCUUAUUUAAUCCUAGUAUACGUAAAUAUUCUAGGUAUCUAAAUAAUAUCGGAUGAUUUAUAUAUUACAUUUUUCAAAAUGAAAAACUUGAUAAUUUGCCUCUUUGUUCUCUAAAUCUUUAAUUAAUAUUUACUUUUAUUAAUACGAUCUAUUCUGCACGUAUAUAUCGAUGAUUCUCUUAAUGAUUGUUUGCGAAAAUUUAUCGAGUUCAUGAGAACUCGUUGAAUUACCAAAUUUUUCGUAAAUUUGUCAGAGAGUUCUGUCGGUAGAAUCUGUUAAACUUCAAGAGCCUACUCGCUUUGCUCGUACCUUUCGAAAUUUUAUAAACAGUCGGCGAAAAGUCGAUUAGAAAAUGCUUGGAACGCGACUUGAGGCUAAUGCCAAAGUCUCGUAUGUGUGUAGGCAAUGCUAACCAACGUUACCGAAAAUAACUGACUUUGGAGUACUCGACACUUGCGUGGUACGUGAUGACGUGCACUGAAAAAUCUGCCUUCGUUUCGUGCGCGUGUUACCGAGUCUACCAUCGUCGUAUACAUAUUCAUAUAUACAUAUAUAUAUAUCUACAUACUUAUUCAUUAAAUCAUAAUACAUCGUAGAAAUGUUCAGGCAUUUUCCACGAAUUUAAAAAAUAUUUUUAGAUCAAGGAAAAGUGAUAUGUUAUAUUAGCGGUAAAAAAGAAAUGAAUAUAAACUUUUUACAAUUUU